UACGAAGGGGGCUAGCGUUGCUCGGAAUCACUUGGGCGUAAAGGGUGCGUAGGCGGGUUUUUAAGUCAGAGGUGAAAUCCUGGAGCUCAACUCCAGAACUGCCUUUGAUACUGAAAGUCUUGAGUAUGGGAGAGGUGAGUGGAACUGCGAGUGUAGAGGUGAAAUUCGUAGAUAUUCGCAAGAACACCAGUGGCGAAGGCGGCUCACUGGCCCAUAACUGACGCUGAGGCACGAAAGCGUGGGGAGCAAACAGG
rnacentral:rRNA from 1 species